rnacentral:rRNA from 1 species
GAGACAGCAGCAGCCACGGUAAUACGGAGGGUGCAAGCGUUAAUCGGAAUUACUGGGCGUAAAGCGCACGCAGGCGGUCUGACAAGUCAGAUGUGAAAUCCCCGGGCUUAACCUGGGAACUGCAUUUGAAACUGUCAGGCUGGAGUCUUGUAGAGGGGGGUGGAAUUCCAGGUGUAGCGGUGAAAUGCGUAGAGAUCUGGAGGAAUACCGGUGGCGAAGGCGGCCCCCUGGACAAAGACUGACGCUCAGGUGCGAAAGCGUGGGGAGCAAACAGGAUUAGAUACCCGAGUAGUCCCUGUCUCUUAUAC